rnacentral:rRNA from 1 species
AUACGUAGGGUGCAAGCGUUGUCCGGAUUUAUUGGGCGUAAAGAGCUCGUAGGCGGUUUGUCGCGUCGGAUGUGAAAACCUAUGGCUUAACCAUGGGCCUGCAUUCGAUACGGGCAGACUAGAGUUCGGUAGGGGAGACUGGAACUCCUGGUGUAGCGGUGAAAUGCGCAGAUAUCAGGAAGAACACCGGUGGCGAAGGCGGGUCUCCGGGCCGAUACUGACGCUGAGGAGCGAAAGCGUGGGGAGC